CACGGUAAAGCAGAACCUUAAAUUGACAGUCGAGAGUAACCUCCAACUGCGAGCAACGCCGAAACAUGGUUGGCAACACUACGCGAAGAACCACCAGACAUCGUGGGACUUUUCCCGCUUAUGCAGAUCAUGGACAAACAUCGGACGGAUAUUAUAGACCAUUUACAAUGUACAUAUUGAAAUUUGGAAUAUGAAUGGAAUAGACAAUAGAAUAGAGUACAUACGUACAUAGAG